rnacentral:rRNA from 1 species
AGAGUUUGAUCCUGGCUCAGGAUGAACAUUGGCGGCAUGCUUAACACAUGCAAGUCGCACGCAACUUCGGUGAGUGGCGCACGGGUGCGUAACACGUAGAUAACCUGCCCUGAAGUGGGGAAUAACCACGAGAAAUCGUGGCUAAUACCGCAUAGUCUCGGUGACGAGUAAAGCAGCAAUGCGCUUUAGGAGGGGUCUGCGGCCUAUCAGCUAGUUGGUGGGGUAAAAGCCUACCAAGGCACGACGGGUAGCUGAUCUGAGAGGAUGGUCAGCCACAGGGGAACUGAGACACGGUCCCCACUCCUACGGGAGGCAGCAGUGAGGAAUAUUGGGCAAUGGGCGCAAGCCUGACCCAGCAAUGCCGCGUGCGGGAUGAAGGUCCUCGGAUCGUAAACCGCUUUUGUGGGGGAGUAGCAAGGAGAGUACCCCACGAAUAAGUCACGGCUAACUACGUGCCAGCAGCCGCGGUAAUAC